CAGAAGCGAGCUUCCCCCGCCCCACCCCCAAGUCUGGUCUCACUCUGAUGAGACUCUAUUCUUGAGUUUACAGACUGAUAUAAGGGUGCAGAGGCAACUCUUUCAUUAUAUUCAAACUUGAAGAUGGCUAUAUAUCAUGUUCAAGAAAUUUCCUGUAUUCGAAGGCCAUCAGCAAGUCUGCCUUGUGUCCUGUGUCUUGCCUGUGUGCUGCUAAGUGAAGCCUGCUUUGGCUGCUGUUUCCCUUGUGUGGAAUUAUCUCUCCUUUUGGAAAAGGCUGUUUUUUCUGGCUCAUGCUUUGGUGAGAGCUUGAGAAAAGCUAUAGAAAGUCUUUGAUUUUGAGAACUUUUUUGGCGUUUCAAGUCAACCUGGAGAUCUCGAGAUAGUUAUUGUUUUUCUUACUGUCUUCACACCUCUCUUUCUAGCUUCCACAUAAAGAUUAGUAGUUAUGUCAGGUGUGUAAAACAUAUAGAGUGACUUGUACUCUAUCUCUGAGUUUAUAGAUUUAUUACAGGUCAUUCAUAACAUUGAUUAGCUGCUUGUCAAUAUUUAUGUUUCCUCUUCAGUAAUUUUUUUCAAGCUAUUAUUCAUUUAACAAAUAUAUGUAUUGAUUAUCUAUUACAUAGUAGGCAUUGUGCUAUAAUUCUAGGAUAAAGAUGAAUAAGAUACAGUUUCUACACGCAAUCUGUUGGUACCCAGAAGAAAUACCAACAAGUAUCUUUAACGUACUGUAAUUAGUUUAAGAUUUUGACAAUAAAUUCGAAAUACUAACUCAUUAUUAUGACUAUGUCAAAUGAACAUGCAGAAAUGGAAGCAAACUUCUUAGCAAUGAUACCUAUGCCACCUUCUUAGUCUGUACCAGAGCUUCGUGGACAAGCAGGAAGGAAAAGUGAUGGCAAAAAUGAAAUUAUCCUGAAAGCCUUCUGCUUGCAUCUGCUUUUGAUUCACUUGUCGGUAGCUUGUAAAACCUAUUAGGUUGUGGAGUUCAUAAAGCUAGCAGGUACUUGAGCUUCUCAUGAACUUUUAUUUGAACACAAAUAAACUGAAAUAAGCACUAUAUUAUUAUUGUUUUAAUUCUAAUAGAAAGACACUGAAGAUUCUGAACAACACAACACAAUACACCUUUAUGUAAAUUCUCAUUCAUGUAGCUGCUCAUUUUAAGGGAUAAGGAUGUAUAUGUACACACACAGCCAUGUACAAACAUGUUCUUGUAUGUUCUUUCUGGUAGCUCACCGUAGCUGAACAUUCCUGACUUAGAGAUGUAAAAUUCUAUUAAAAGUCUAGAAAAAAGAUGCCUCUCUCAGUCCUUACCCAAGUAAAAGCGAGGUGACCUGUAAAGACCAGAGAAUGGGGUUAUUCGUCAAAACUAGGCGAAGAAAAGGCAAAUUUGUGACUCAGGAUCUCUGCAUCAGGAUACAGCAGAUGACACAGUGAACAAGGUGAUAAGAACAAGCAGAGAGGGGAGGAGAAGUCACACUGUUGUAAGCCCCAAACUGGGAUCUCUUAUUGCUGCUGGCCUGGAUCAAGCUUAAGACCUUGUCUUUGCCCAUGGUAGCAGGCUGCAGUUGGUAAAGGGUAUCUUCCUCUUUAUAAACCAGUGAUGAUUUCCUACUUAAAUAAAAAUAUUCUAUAACAACAGUA